GUUUUUUUUUUUUUUUUAGGGAAGGCAGGAGAUGACAAAAGGAUUUUCGCUCCUAGAUGGCCGUGCGCUUCACAGACGCUCUAUCAACAUCUGAUGAAGCUCAUCGCUCCAAGUGAAUAAUCACUCACACCAGGCAUUCCCACUCCAGGCUGUACCAAGCAUGGCUUUGCUGUUGUUGUUGUUUUAAUGGCUGGACUCAAUAUCCUAGACCCUGUUUCACUUGAGUCUGAUACUGCUCAGAAGUUCCCUAACCACUAAGUAACAUUCCUGUUAUCAGUUCUAUCACUUUCUCCACCUACUGGGUGCCUGCUCUUGAAUGUGGGUUCAUGCACAAACCUGAGUGCGCGUGCACACACACACACACACACACACACAGACGAGACUGUUGAACUUUUCUUGCCGGGGAGGUCUACCAGGGCAUGAACCCAAAACAAAAUGGCAGCAUGAGGAGUCUCGAAGGCACUGUUUGCAACCUCCCACUCGAUGGAACGAGUCCCGUCACUGAGGACUCCCGGGAGCAAAUGAAUGAAAGACAUGAUGCCCUUUCCCCCUCCAAAGACACAGGACUCAGUGCCCAAAGCUGCUUCUCCCCUCUUCCCCCCUCAACCUUUCAUCCCUUCCAAGGUCCUUCACUCCCCUCUGAGGACACAGGGCCUCUUUGGACGGCAGCCUCCAGGACCUUGCAUGGGUGGCCAGACUCCUGUGGCUCAAAUUUCAUCCCCCACCCUUCCUGCAGAAGGGCUGGUGGCUCACAAGGGUGGGAAAGCGAACACGGGGGUGCUCUACAGCUGCUCCCAGCUGCUCUGAGACGCCCAUCACCCCCGAUACGAACCGAAAGUGCCUCUGCUCAGCCUGCCUCUCCCGGGGAUGAUAAACAAGGCUGUGAUCGGGAAGGGCCAGAGAGCUUCACAUUCUGA
rnacentral:lncRNA from 1 species